rnacentral:snRNA from 1 species
AGCUUUGUGCAAUGGCAAUAUCAUAGCCAUUGUGGUUUAUCUAAAGCAUGGUUAUUGCUAAUUGACAAAAGUAUCCUAGUACCUUGUCAUGACAACUUAAAAUAUACUUGGCAUUUGUAAUUUUUGACAGUCUCUUUAGAGU